rfam:Ipomoea nil DNA, scaffold: scaffold3322, cultivar: Tokyo-kokei standard.
GCCUUCUUAGCUCAUUGGUAGAGUGCGUGGCUUUUAACCACGUGGUCGUGGAUUCGAUCCUUACAGACGGUG